CCUUUGGGUUGGUUCUGUGAAAUAGCUGUGGACCACUUCUCUAUUUUUUUUACCCCUUAGGUAGGGAGAGCUGUUUUCUGUUGCUAGAAACCAAAGAACCCUCUCGUACCUAAGGGCUUUGGAGUUAUCUGACCCUAACUCUACUACUUUCUGCCUCUGUGAGUGGAAAAUUACUUAACUUCUCUAAGCUUCAGUUUCCUCUCUUGUAAAAUGGGGAUGUUAAUGUCAGUUUAGAGGGUAUAGAUGAUAUUUAUAUGGCCACUGGCCCUAGACCCUCAACUAAAGGCAGCAACUAUUGUGGACCAAAUUUUAAUCAUCUUUGUUUUACUAGUGAUGACUUUCCACUUAUUAAAUAUCUGUGGAGUGAAUAAAUGAACCCACAUGACAAUGUGGAUUUUCACGAUGAAAACCCACAGCUGAGUAUCUUAGACAGUUACAACCCCUUGGGUAUCAAACAUGUGAUUUAUUGUUCAAAAAGUUAAUAUGAGAAAAUCUCCAUGACCUGGGUUAGGCAAAAGAGUGCUUACUAAUGAUAAUAAAACCAUAAUCCCUAAAAGAAAAAAUUGAUACACUGGACAUCCUCCAAAUUAGAAACUUCUGCCCCAUGAAAGAUAAUGUUAAGAGAAUAAAAAGACAACCUAGAGACUGGGAGAAAUAUUUUGCAAAUCGCACAUCCAACAAAGGACUUGUAUCUAGAGUAUAUAAAACCUGAAAAACACACAACCUAAUUUAAAAAUGAGCAAAAGACUUAAACAGAUGUAUCACCAAAGAGGACAUACAGAGGGCAAAGAAGUGCACUGAAAGAUGCUCCGCAUCAUUAGUCAUUAGGGAAAAGCAAAUUAAAGUCAUGAUGAGAUACAACCACAUACGAUCAGAAUGGCUAAAAUCAAAAUACUGACAAUACCAAGGGCUGACAAGGAUGCAGAACAACUGGACCUCUCCCACAUUGCUGGUGGGAAUGGAAAAUGGCUCAAGUACUCUGGAAGACAAUUUGAUCAUUUUUUAUAAAGUUAAACCUCCACAUACCACAUGGCCCAACAAUCCUGCUCCUGAGAAAUGAAGUGAAAACUUAUGUUCACGCGAAACCCGUACACAUCUUUGUAGCAGCUCUAUUCAUAAUCAUUCCAAGCUGGAAACAGCUCCGAUGUCCUUCAGCAGUUGAGUGGAUAUACAAACUGUGGUACAUCCCUACAACGUCAGAAAACCCAGUAAUAAAAAGGAAUGAAGUAUUGAUGACACAACAAACUUGGACGAAUUGUAGAGGCAUUAUGCUGAGUGAAAGAAGCCAGUCUCAAAGGAUUGGGAAGUUUGGACAGCGCUGUCAUCGCUGGGGGGACACGGAGGAUUGAAAUUCUGAGGAGACCCUCCGGGGCCCAGGGACCCCUGAGAAUAAUUGGAGGCUGGGGAGGCCCCUGGAGCUGACGGAGGGAACAGCGGCUCCCCU
rnacentral:lncRNA from 1 species